CCCUUAGAUGUCCUGGGCCGCACGCGCGUUACACUGAUGCAUUCAACGAGCUUAUAACCUUGGCCGAGAGGCCUGGGCAAUCUUGUUAACGUGCAUCGUGAUAGGGAUAGAUUAUUGAAAUUAUUAAUCUUGAACGAGGAAUUCCUAGUAAACGCAGAUCAUCAAUCUGCAUUGAUUACGUCCCUGCCCUUUGUACACACCGCCCGUCGCACCUACCGAUUGGAUGGUCCGGUGAAGCCUCGGGAUUGUGGUUCUUGCCGCAUUAUUGUGGCGUGACCGCGGGAACUUGUCUAAACCUUAUCAUCUAGAGGAAGGUGAAGUCGUAACA
rnacentral:rRNA from 1 species